rnacentral:rRNA from 1 species
AAUCAACGCUGGCGGCGUGCCUCAGACAUGCAAGUCGAACGCGAAAGUCCCCUUCGGGGGACGAAGUAGAGUGGCGCACGGGUGAGUAACACGUAGGUAAUCUACCUUCGGAUGGGGAAGUAACAACCGGAAACGGUUGCUAAUACCGCAUAAUGCAGCGGCACCUAAUGGUGACAGUUGUUAAAGCGGGGGAUUNAAAGACCUCGCGUCUGAAGAGGAGCCUGCGGCGGAUUAGCAGUUGGUAAGGUAACGGCUUACCAAGGCGACGAUCCGUAACCGGCCUGAGAGGGCGGUCGGUCACACUGACACUGACAUACGGGUCAGACUCCUACGGGAGGCAGCAGUCGGGAA